CAGCAGCCGCGGGAAUACGUAGGUGGCAAGCGUUGUCCGGAAUUAUUGGGCGUAAAGGGCUCGCAGGCGGUUUCUUAAGUCUGAUGUGAAAGCCCCCGGCUCAACCGGGGAGGGUCAUUGGAAACUGGGAAACUUGAGUGCAGAAGAGGAGAGUGGAAUUCCACGUGUAGCGGUGAAAUGCGUAGAGAUGUGGAGGAACACCAGUGACGAAGGCGACUCUCUGGUCUGUAACUGAUGCUGAGGAGCGAAAGCGUGGGGAGCGAACAGAAUUAGAUACCCCAGUAGUCCCUGUCUCUUAUAA
rnacentral:rRNA from 1 species